AGAGCGAACGCUGGCGGCAGGCCUAAUACAUGCAAGUCGAACGCACCUUCGGGUGAGUGGCGGACGGGUGAGUAACACGUGGGAACGUGCCUUUGGUUCGGAAUAAUCCGGGGAAACCUGGCCUAAUACCGAAUGUGCCCCCUCCUUUAACCAGGGGGGUGGGAAAGAUUUAUCGCCAUUAGAGCGGCCCGCGUCUGAUUAGCCAGUUGGUGAGGUGAUGGCCCACCAAGGCUACGAUCAGUAGCUGGUCUGAGAGGAUGAUCAGCCACACUGGGACUGAGACACGGCCCAGACUCCUACGGGAGGCAGCAGUAGGGAAUCUUGCGCAAUGGGCGAAAGCCUGACGCAGCCAUGCCGCGUGAAUGAUGAAGGUCUUAGGAUUGUAAAAUUCUUUCAGCGGGAAGAUAAUGACUGUACCCGCAGAAGAAGCUCCGGCUAACUUCGCGCCAGCAGCCGC
rnacentral:rRNA from 1 species